rnacentral:lncRNA from 1 species
UGCUUUGCAGGCAAUGCUUUCACCUUGGAAGGAUUCUGCGGCUGUUGGCAGCUGAAGCUCCAAUGGGCACCACUGCAGGGCUGAGUCCUGGGCUGGGGACAUUGCAAUGGCUGCACUGUGGAGACAAUGGGGUCAUGAGGAGGUGCCCUGAAUGAGCAACUCCUACCUACGGCUCCAGUACAAGCAUUCUUGUCUCCUAGAGUUUUGCCUUGGAAUCAAGGUUUUGGCCUGAAUCUGUGGGUAGAUAUCUUCCAGCUAAGCUUUAGGUCUAACUUAGAAACAGCAGAGCUGAGCUUUGUUAACAGGGAUGUGCUAGAAACUCCUCUCAGUGUGUCUGGAUUGGAGUGAGAGAGCUGGUAAAAUUAACUUGCUCAGGGAAUAAGCUGCAACAGAAGUCAUUGAAAGGAUGUGAAAAUCAUGGAAGACACUUAGCCUUCCCGAAUCUGGAAUGAAGAGUCUUCCCACAACAACCCACACUGCAGCAAGAGAAGCACACAGCUGUAAGAAGAACAACACACUGCCUUGCCUGCUAAUUUCUAGGUCCAGGUGACAACCUGUGGCUCGUUAAGAGAUGGAGCUAAUUGGAGAGGAGCAGGGGGAGGAGGUUGGGUCUCUGCCAGCUGUGCUGCUCCUCACCCUAAGAUAAAAGGGAGACAGCAGGGUGUGGUGACUGUUUCUGAGAUGGAGUUUGGCUGGGGGAAAUGUUAGUCUUGGGAUUAGGAAGCUUUCUCAUGGACUCCUGUGGGAGAGAUGAAGAGAGGUGAGGAAGGAGCUGCCCCAUAACUAGAAGUUGGAUGUUCUGGGAAGUGCUCUGCUGCGUGGAAAGAAAUGUUUCUUCAGAAUGAACUUUUUGCUGCCUGUUUGACACUUGCUUUCCAGGUCCAGACUCCAGCCAGGAUCAAGGGUAGAGCUGGAAACUUGGGAGAAACAAAGUUCUUGUGAAAUUUUCAGACAAAUUUUGGAAGCCCACACAGCCUACACUGGUUGGACAAGCUUCAAAAUAAGUACAUGCUUCUCAAAGCUUUGAUGCAUCCGGACCUUUUGGGAUUUCUGCCAUUGAAGGUCAGCUUAGCUGCGCCCACACCACCACUCAAAGGGAGGAGAGCCUAGGGCCAGACCAACUCGGAGACGUUGCAUCAGCACGGCAGGUCAAGUGAACACCGAACCUGCAGCAAGAACAGAGCUGCAUCCUUAGACUCCCUCCUUUCCAGAAAAUUAAGUGAGGUCACUCAGAAAGCAGAGAAAGAAGAGGGGAUGUAGACUGUACCCCAUCCUACACAUCACAGUGAUUUAUACUAAAAUUAAUGGCACUCAGCUGCUCGCCAGCUCCUUUCCCACAGCACCAGGAAUGUCGCGCACUGAGAAAACCUGCACCCCUGAAAGCAGCACAUCUUUCACAAUAAGAGAAUUCUGAAUACUUGCAGGCAAACACCGGACACCAGGCAGUCCCUCCCACAGCACCAAAGACUAUUUGACACUGCUGCAAAGGAGGACAUUGAAAUGUGCACUCAUCAAUGAUGACUUUUAAAGGAAACAAUAACAACACCUUUCUGACCUCAAAUUUUCUAUUGGAGGAUGAAAGCCCCACUGAAAAUUCUUGCUGAAGAGGCCAGAGCUUCUGGACCUGGAGCCUGAGGGACAUCCUGGGGGCUCCCACUGAAGGCAUCUCCCAUCAAAAGGGCCAUAGAGAUGGCAUGGGCAGGGUGAAGCAUAUCCCCACCCAAUCUCUUGGGUUACCUCAUGGUAAACACUCUCACCCCUUUCCUUCCCCUCUAGCCAGCACUGGCCUGCACAGUGGGCAUUUGCAUGCUUCUUAGCCAUUUUUAAUUAGAUCCUGAAAAUUCUUAUAUUAUGUUGUACCUUUCCACCCUGGGCCCUCACUGACUAUGGCCACUUGUGACAUUCUUAGCCACUUGCUUUCAUUCUUAGCACAGACAUGAAAACAGAUUUCUGUGUUCUUUGGACAAGUUAUUAGGCUUACAAUUAGUAAAGAGAACAAUGUCAGGCUCUGUGUAAAAGUUACAAGUGUGAAAUCGAGUUCUGCCAGUAAAUUGCUACCUUUUCUUUAGCAUUGCAAGCCACGCUCUCCAGUUUAUUUGAACACAUAAAAUAUGCUAAAUGUUUAGCAGCACCACUGUGUAAAGAAGAGUUGGAUGAAGUAUAUAUUUUUAAAUACAGUGAGUAAUAAAAUGUUGAGUAAAUUCCCAAGAAUAUCAUUUUGGGGCAAGUACAAUAGAAUGCUUAAUGGCAUAUAUUCCCAGGUUUGCUGUUUUUAUUCCUCCUUUUCUCCCGCUUUAAUCUCCUCACCCAGACAGUGGUUGUUGUUAUGGGAGCUGCUAGAAAGGGCUUCAUCCAUAGACACUUCCAGCACCGAGAGAAUGAGACGAGGAGCACCAGGCAUUUGCAGUCAGUGCCUCAUGUUUCAGCAGUGCACUGGGCACUGCCCUGUGCCCACCCCUGGCUGCAGUAGAUGGCAUCGAGCUGCUGGGCAUGCACUUGGGUGGUGGUUCAUAAGGACCACAGGAAACAAGGAAAAUUAUAAAGCGAAUGGGGGGGGGGGAGGGAUAAAGGCAAACAAGCCUCCUUCACAAAUUCAUUUUCUCCAAAUUUAUUUCCUUUUCAUUUAACUCGGUUGAGAAAUGUCCCCCCAGACUUCAUCAGAAAAUCAAUCUCCCCAUUUAAAGUUCUAAACGCAGUUCUAAGCAGCUCUGAUAUGCAAAGCGGCGUGAGAAAUCCAAACCCUCAUCAGACAAUCUGCACGUUGUUUGGAGCCACCGCUGCAGGUGAAGUCAGCAUCACUUCUCUCCAGACCAAACUCUGUGGGCUGAAUUGAGCCGAUGCUGCCCAGUUCCUGUGGCAAUUCCUGUAGCUGGGCUUCGGUAUGCAUAAACUCUCCACAUUUAGGAUAUUACCCUUCACAGAGCAGCUUAAUAUUUCAACAGGCCUUUUUAAUUUCGUAGCGCAAAUCACCUUUUACCCUUUGCCACACAGUUAUGCGCCGGGUAGCGCAGUGCACCCAUAUACCCACUGUUUAGCUGGUUUUAUACUGCUGGUUUGCAACUAACUGUCUGUACUUUGUUUCAAUAUUAAAAACUGUCUGCUGUAUGGUAGCUCUGAGAUCAUGUUCCCAAACCGCUCUCAGUUCCUGCUGCCUUUCUGUGCUAUCUAUCCUGGAAAUGGGAAUCUUUAUUCCAUAGGCUCAUAAGAGGGUAAAUAUACAUUUUCUAAUUCUAGGAGAUAUAUUCAAAAGAAAAACAAACAGCAGAUUCUGAUGUUAUAGUUCUCAUAUUUAGCCUGUAUUUUCUAGAACGUUACUUUUUAGUUGUUUUAAAAGUUGUACUAACUGUAAUCUAGGGAGACGUUACCUUCAUUUUGAAGCAUCAACCAAACACCAUAAUAUAAAUGAUGCAUAUUUGUUAUCUUUAAUUGUAUAUAUAUAAAAUAAAUAAAUAAUAACUGGGUAGUAUGGAGCAGUAUAUUUUCUAUACUGUCUCUGAGUUAUCAGUUGAUACAAGACAGUGCUACCAGUACGAUAGAUGUUCAAACUGCAAAUGUUUGGCACCAGGUAAAAAGUCUGUGGAGGGAUGGAACAACAUUCACUGCAGUUUGCUGGAUCAGCUCACCUUGUAGUAUGUCUGGGAGCUGAAUUUUACCCACAUACACAUGUAUA